CCUACGGGUGGCAGCAGUGGGGAAUAUUGGACAAUGGGCGAAAGCCUGAUCCAGCCAUGCCGCGUGUGUGAAGAAGGCCUUCGGGUUGUAAAGCACUUUCAGUGGGGAAGAAAGCCUUGGGGCUAAUACCCUCGAGGAAGGACAUCACCCACAGAAGAAGCACCGGCUAACUCCGUGCCAGCAGCCGCGGUAAUACGGAGGGUGCGAGCGUUAAUCGGAAUUACUGGGCGUAAAGCGCGCGUAGGCGGUCUGAUAAGCCGGUUGUGAAAGCCCCGGGCUCAACCUGGGAACGGCAUCCGGAACUGUCAGGCUAGAGUGCAGGAGAGGAAGGUAGAAUUCCCGGUGUAGCGGUGAAAUGCGUAGAGAUCGGGAGGAAUACCAGUGGCGAAGGCGACCUUCUGGACUGACACUGACGCUGAGGUGCGAAAGCGUGGGUAGCAAACAGGAUUAGAUACCCGGGUAGUC
rnacentral:rRNA from 1 species